CUCAUGUGUUAUCCAUGAAAGUCAGUGGAAGGUUAUCAAGACUUACAGGAAUAAUUUACCACAGCUAAACAUCUGCUUUGUCUUCAGAGAUAUGUGUUAAUACCUGCAGUCUGGGAAUAGUAUUUGUUCUUCUAUGACACCUUUGAACUGACAAGUCCAAACUCCUCUUAAACUUUAAACUGCAGAAAAAAUUUUGCAAAGCAGAGAAGGCUAACAAUAAUAUAAAAUUAAGUCAGCGAAGGUGCGUGAUUUGACUUCAGCCAGACAAGCAUAAAUUCAG